UUGUUGGAGGGCCACUGAAGGGAUGUUCGCUAGAAAUAAAAAGGCAUAUUAUUUCUAUUUCCAGUUGAAACCGCGAGGAGGUCUCCCUUCUUAUUCAACCACAUAUUUUUUUUUAUUAUUAUUAUUAUUUUCUUUUUAUUUAUUGCAUAUUUAUUUCCAUCUUUCUAUCAUUUCAAGUGUCAGGUUACUGUGCAAGAGUGGAAUGAUUGACCUCAACACAAGUAUUAAGGCAAAAGGGAAUCAACUUUAUUUGAGGCCAGAUACAUGGAACGGUUCCACCAGUUAUUUGUUAUCUCACCCCGGCACACAACAGAAUGAGAGCGGCACUUUGAGCAGUCACCAUCGUAACACAUGAUAGUGGACUCUAGGACUUUUGCACUAACUUGGUUAGAAAGAGUCUGCAUGCCACUCAGAGAGGGCGGUGGAAUAUCCAAAUCCGUCAACAGCAGCUGAGCUCUGGUGUUUCCAACCGGCAUGUCUAACAGUCCAGAUUGUAGGGUCAGAUUGAUAGCGGCUGCCUUUCUACCUGGUUUCCCAGUUGGAAUCUCUUUAUACAACUUGUAGACAGGUCUACAUCUCAAAACCCGAUGACUUCCCGGAGUGGCUUUAGUAGAAAGAUGAUGCAUAUUAAUUUCAUCCCUGAUCUCUGUGACACCUGUGGAAGUUGAGGGCAAAUCAUAAUCAGUUUGAGUUCCAGCCGAGGACCCCUGUAAACGUUGCUGUUUAGUGUUGACUUCAUGUCCGAGCUUGAAAAAGACAGCCUUGCGUUUAUUAUGGCCUCUCAUAUUGGAAGAUAACAUAAAUGGCUUGUAUGUUGACUGUUGUGCAUAUCUCUGGGUCAGGAAAGUUGUAGGUACCAUCAACAUUGUAAAUCAUUUGACAGACCAGAAUAAAGAGUGAGAACUAUGAUUGGUCAGCCAUGUAUCAGAUUCCAUAAUAGGGGGUGGGGAUCAUAAAACUGUUGUAGUGUUACAUAAGCAGAUUAUCUGAACUUAAUUGUCCUAUGUAAAUACAGCUAUAUAGGAGACAUUUCAAAAUUUAUAGGCACUGCAUGUUUCAACAUCUUAGAUUUGACCACAAUUUGGCACUUGAAACUGCGUUAAGAGAGAAAAACUAAGAUCUUUUCAACGAAAAUGUUAAAAAAAUCUAAUAUUACAUGAUAAUAUCUUGUUUUAAAGGAUUUUCUUGAUUGAUUUAUAUUGAAUUUUUGUUAUCUUUUUACAGAAUGCAUUUAUGUUCAAAAAUAAAAAUGUUCUGUUUAAUUCAAAAUUCAUGUGCUUUUAAAUUUCUGUCUGAAAUUCCGCAGUUUUCUGAUUAUUAUAGUGUUUGCAGAAUGCCGCACAGCUCAUCUGAAAAUACAUAGAUUUUCAUUAUCUUUGGCCAGGGAAUUACAUAUAUAUUCUUUAAGUGGCAUUUAGCGAUCAGGGAACAAAUUAACAGAACACAGUUUUUAUGGGAUACAAUCACUAGUUUAUUCUAAAAGCACGACGUUUCGACAAGUAUCCUCUUAUCGUUACCUGUGCUUUAUCAACUUCCCACUAUCCAUACAUGCUACCCUUUUGAAGGGCUUCAUAACUGUUAAUAACCCUCUAAUCAUGCAGUAUCAGUGCUUAUUAGUAGCUAAUUACCUUGUUAUGUUUGUUGUUAUUGUUAAAUAUCCUUUACACCUUGAUUAUUUCUAUUACUGUUAUUCUUAAUCCAUGCAGAUGGUUUCUUAUUAAUUUCAUAUAUAUUGUCCACAAGUUUACUAAAUUGUCGGGGGGUUGGGAUGGCCUAGUGGUCUAGCGUGUCACGCUUCGACCUCUAGUUGGCCGGUCACCUCUGGCUUGCGGCUGUGGUUUCGAUCCCAGGUGUGAGCGUAUGUGGCUUGGAGAUAGGGGCGCCUUCUCAACCUCGUGGGUUUACUCCGGGUACUCCGGUUUCCUCCCACAGCAAAGACCCCUGCGCGUGCGCUAAGAUCAUUAAAAUGAACUUGUCUGCGAUAUCACCUUCGGUGGAAGCGGACGUUAAACGCUAAGAACAACAAACUAAAUUGUCAUUUGUGCUUGAUAACGAUUAGAGGAUACUUGUCGAAACGUCAUGCUUUUAGAAUAAACUAGUGAUUGUAUCCCAUAAAAACUGUGUUCUGUUAAUUACAUAUAUGUUUGUUUAUUAGAUAACAACAGAUUUGUUUAAACUGCAGAAACAUGUGAGGUAUAUAGGACUAAGACUAGUAAUAAUUUCCCCUUAUUUCAUGUAGUGCGAGUUAUAAAUAGACAAUUUUUCCCUUAAUUUUUUUCUCCCCUCUUCCUGCAUUUUUUGGUUGACUUUUUGGUCUAGAAUUGGAGAAAAGGGAUCAAAUUUGCAAUUUCAUAGCAGUUUUGGGUAAUACUGAUGAUAUUACAGCGGAGAGAUAGGGGGUGUAAAGUGUCUUUCUGCAGAGCAAUCAUUGUGUCGGAAGUGCGAUUUUCACCCCAGUCAACCUCAAAUCUGCGUAGCAAAAAAUCUAAAUGGUCAACCCCCUACAAAAUUAUGAUGAGGAGAUUGCCAAAUGUUGUCCCCAUUGUGCCUAUAAAGAUUGGAACCAACGGAAUGUUGAGCAAAAAGCUACAGCCUGGGAUGUUACAGCCAUUUAACAUUGAAGUCAAUGGGCAAAUAAUUGCUAGUCUGAGUCCAUAUAAAUUGAAACAAGUGAACAAUUACCUCCCUUUGAUAGUAUCAUCUUGAACUCUGAAACAGACAUCAAGUUUAUCUUUAUUACAGAAUUUUUCAUUACAGAUCAACUAUAUUUAUUACUGAAAUUGUAAUGGUAUGU